rnacentral:rRNA from 1 species
AGGAGUUUGAUCCUGGGCUCAGGAUGAACGCUGGCGGCGUGCUUAACACAUGCAAGUCACGGGGGCCCGGAGCGCAAGCUUUGGGUAACCGGCGAACGGGUGCGUAACACGUGAGCAACCUACCUAAGUGAGGGGGAUAGCCGGGCCAACGCCCGGGUAAUACCGCAUACGCUCGAGGAGAGGCAUUUCAUCUCGAGGAAACCUACGGGGCACUAUGAGGGGCUCGCGGCCUAUCAGCUAGUUGGUGAGGUAACGGCUCACCAAGGCGACGACGGGUAGCUGGUCUGAGAGGAUGGCCAGCCACAUUGGGACUGAGAUACGGCCCAGACUCCUACGGGAGGCAGCAGUGGGGAAUCUUGCGCAAUGGCCUAACGGCUGACGCAGCGACGCCGCGUGAGGGAUGACGCUCUUCGGAGUGUAANACCUCUUUCUGUCUGAGACGAAUUGUCAGCUUUUGCUGAUUUGACGGUAUCGGGCGAAUAAGCACCGGCUAAACUCCGUGCCAGCAGCCGCGAUAAUACGGGGAGNGUGCGAGCGUUGUCCGGAAUCACUGGGCGUAACACGGGCGCGUAGGUGGCCUGAUAAGGGUGUGNGUUGAACAGUCCGGGGACUCAACCCCAGGAUCGGCGUGCCGACUGUCAGNGCUGGAGUACUGUAGGGCAAGGCGGAAUUCCGGGUGUAAGCG